CCCACAUACUUAGUAGUAACCAUUUUGGAAAGCAUAGGGCACACAACAGCAGUCUAUCUUUGCAACGCUGCAAGUAAAGAACAUAUCUCUUCACUUUUAGAAACACUACUAGGAUUCCUAAGAUCCAGCCAAGUGGAAGACCACUAGCUUAGAAUGACAAAGAUAACAAUAAAAAACAAAACAAAGCAAAAAAAAAAAAAAACCCCAACUACCUGUUGUGUAUUUUUCAUAAACUUAAUAUAGCCUAAUGGUCAUGUUAGGAGAAAAUUUAAAGGUUCUUCCUCAAAAUUUACCUUUGUACGAGGCACAGAGGCUAUCAAUCACAUAGGAAAAGCACCCCAAAGCCAAGAUCUGAAACAGGCAAUACCCACUGGGGGCCUUACAUUGCACAGAGUCUUGUACCUGACUGUAGGGGUUUCACGAAAUUAAAACUGCAAGACAAAGACAGAUUACCUCACAGAGAAAUACAAAGUCCUUACUACAUAGAUGUGAGGAUGCGUGCGAAUGUGCAUGGGUGUGUAGCAUUUUGAUACGUGUAAAAGCGCAUUCGUGAACAGGACGUUAAGGGCUCUGGAAGAAUCUUUAAUGCAGAGCUCACCUUGCUUUGCCCCGUGCAGUGUGCCAUCUCCAGUUGCAUGAAAGGCUUGCAUGCUAAUCUACAGAUCUGGGUCACAGUUUUCAACUUAAAACUCCGCCUUUUACAAACAAUCUCGGAGCACAGGCAAAAAUAUAUGAAUGGUGAGUUCGUUAUAAAACUAACUUUUCAUUAGCCUCAUUCUGAAAUCUAUACCUUAUUCUAUUUAAUUUCAACGUAAAGCCAUCGAGAGCUCUACUAGGAUUUAUUUGAAAUGUAGCGUCUAGUGUCGCAUGUCAAAAAGACAGCAACAUUUCCGCAUAAACUCCCACCUUUUUUCCAUUUUGCUUCAAACGUUCAGAAUAAGAGCUCGUCUUUAAGGUGGAGCUGAGCUUGCUUGUAAUGAGUUAUAGAUGGUUUAGUGAUAAAAUCUGGCUUUCUGGAACAAAUGGGUGUUCGAACCUGAUUUUAUUAGCGCGGUCGAAAAUUGUGGAACUAAAGCAAGGAAAUUUCUGCAUAUUGCCACAAUCCGAGGGCCGUAUGGAUCAUAAACUUUUCUAUUUGUAUUUUACUGGUGGACAUGAACGGCAUGAUCUCAUCAGGAAAAGAAGGGGACCCACAGCUGACAUGUGGGGACUGUACAUCUUGCUAGGAAUGUCAGAUAAAGGUGAAGCUUUUAAACAAGAGGCCCCUUGAUUUAGUGCCUUUAAUGUGCCCGGGAAGGAAUGUGUUCUGUGCAUCAUUAGUGUGACAGGGUGAAGGGGCAACUCGUGUCUUCUGUUCCUGUGGAAAGAGGAUGAAUCUGGCACAGCUCUGAUGUCAGAACCUCCAUCACCUUUCUCACAGAUGAUGUAGAUUUUAAUUGUACUCAGGGCCGCCUCGUAUCGCCCCAGCUCCUACGUGACAUUGAGAUAGAUGAAGCCAUUUGUUGGCAUUAUCAGAGCCAGCUGUGUGCUUGGCUGCGGCUACAGUAGGCAUUUUUAUCUCAUGCAUAAUCUUCUCAUUGAGAAGGGAUCACAAGCGUCGGAACCAUAUGGUAAAUAAUUUUAUUAUGAUCAAAAAAGGACUCUUGGAACUAGUUAAACAGAAGAGUCCUUGAAAUUCAAUCAGAAGAACUUUGAUUUUCAUGUCACGCCAUCGCCCUAAAUUAAUUGUUAGUGCUGCCACAUGCAAACAGAACCAAGAUUCCCACCCCGUGCAAAAGGAGGAUCAACUAACCAUUAUUUUCUGCCACUCGACACUUGUUUCUAUUCUUCUCAAUUACGGGAUCAAUAUCGGAAGAGGAAAAACCAGGAUUUCCAAGCCUAAAGCUGGUUUCUAAUUAAAAAUGGUAAUUUUAAACAAUGUUCUAAAUCGCAGAACAACACGGGAGAUGAGGCAAGCUCCGGUGGAGAUCCUAAUUGCUACUCUUAAAAGCAGAAAAGACAGGCUGUAUCUUUUUCCUUUAAGGGAGGGAGUCUGUUUCUUUGUUUUGUUUUGUUUGUUUUUGAUACAGAGUCUCCUGUGGUCAGGCUGGCCUCCCGCUCACCAGGUAGCUCAGAAUGAUCUUAAACUUCUGAUCUUCCUUAAUCCACCUCUCAUCUGCUAGGAUUCCAGGCCAUCACCACCUGCACCAUACCCAGCUCAAGACAGUCCAAGGAGUAAGAGUCUGUCUGUCCUUUUGUGGUGGCUAUACGUUUAGCCUAUUUUAUCAACAGGAAGGACCAAGUGUGUCUUUUCCACACCGAGGAAUGUCUUCACAUCCCAAGGAGCUGCCUGGAUCUGGGCUUCCAUGUAAGCAUAACAUAAGAAUCAGCAGCCAGGAAUCAGAGGAUUCCAGUGAGGGGUGGUGUACAGACUGCAGGGAGAGCCUGAGUGGCUGCCUCCUACCCACAUUGUUUCUCCAUUAAUUGGUUUUUAUUAAUCACGGGGGGGGGUCAAACUUCAGUUCAGAUGUUUCAAGGCCCACAAAAGGGUGAUUUGCCCAGUCUCUCCUUGUCUGUAAUGUGUAUACUCUCUUCUUUUAUUAUCCCUUUUCUUUCCAGAGGAAAGCAUAUGGGAUCUGAGCCUUAUGGUACCUGCUAGAGACAAGAAGGGAUUAUUAGCGAAGUCCGUACCAUAGGGCGACAGUACAUGCUAUGCCAGAAUCCAAAGACAGCGGCUUCUGUACCUUGAGCCCAGGUUUUUAUUUGUUAUUUUAUUGACAAAUAAUACAGCUAAUAGUAGUGCUAGAAGAGGCGUAUUAACCACCCGAUCUACAGAAAGUUUAAUUUCCAGCACUGAAGCCGUUGGUUUCUUAAAUUAUCACCAUUACAACCUCUCAUGGCUAGAGUCGAGUAGCUGGCUGAGAUGCUAAACAUGAUCUCAAGUAUGCGGGGGUUUUUGUUUAUUAUUUAAGAGCAUGUUUGAAAAAUAUGCUUGGUAUAAAAUACGCCAUCGAUUCCUUCAGUGAACAACUGCAAAAUCCCAGUGUGGAAUCUUGACGUUAAAGCCACACUGCCUGUAGUUAGGAGGUCUGAGUCCCCAGCCAAGGUCUGUGGAACAGAGCUGUGUACACCAGGGUAAAAGCUCUGUAGAAAAGCAUGCCGUCUCUAAGCAGGGGCCGGAAGAGGACAGAGAAGCAUCACUCCUCGUUCUGGUGACAGCUUCAGGUCAGUAAGUCAGCAAGCAGAUCCCACAGGGACCACACUGGGUUCUCCUCCUGGUCUCUUACAGUAGUCAUUACUGUGAAUAUGACUUUACAUGUCUCUACGCUCUACCUCCUGUCACCAUCAAGGGAAUACAUGGAGGUUUGAUUGCUAUGUUGGGGGCCUUACAGUUUCACUCAGGCAACCCUCGUUGGUAUGGAACACCCCAUACAUUGCCUGUCUGAGAUUUGACAAGUUGUUUUUUUCUUUCUAGGAUUAUUCUGGUGCACUUUAGAGAACCUGCAAUACUGUCUCAUGCUGUCUAAUGAGGAUUAUCCAAUACGCUCUCUGAAAUUUUUGCUGACUGGUUUUGCUUCAGUCUUGGUAACAUUAUCCCUAUCCACUUUCUAUUGGCAGGGAAGGCAGGGGGCAGGGCCUGGACUUGACAGACCAUCCCUGCGAUAUAUUACAAUUAGCUAUGGCUCAGUCUCCUUCCAUUUAUUCAACUAGUGGGAGCAUGUAACUCCCUGGAGGUCGAGGAGUUGAGAGCUUUCCUGGUGUCUUUUCAGAACACCAACCCUCUUCCCUUGUUUAAGCUGGAAUUUUAUGAAAAUCUCUACUGAGUAAGUUAGUUUGCCUUAUCCGCUCAUUUGCACUCAAGGUAGGUUCUGGGUGAUGGAUUACCUUGUCAGCGGCUCACCACAGACCAAAUGGACCUGUGGGAAGAGAUAGCACAUGAGCAUGACACAGGAAAUCAUAGAUGUCAGUUUACACAGUGAACAACAGUGAGGACAAGAUUUCCAUUAGGAAAUGCAGAUGCCUUCUAAACUGGCACUGGUGUAUACUUUUGAAAGAGUAAUACUGGAAAUGAAAAGAUAUGUUUUUGACUAUACACAGUGAGGUUUUUCUCAGUUCCAAGGGUGAAUUACAUAAAUUAGCAAAACAAAACAAAACAAAACCAAAAUGUAUAGACCUUGAAACUGCUGGGCCUGUUAAUAUAAUCUGAAUUUCAUAGUCUUAUAAUUUACAACAUGAAGGAAGUGGGAAGGAAGGAAGGAAAGGAGGGAGGGAGAAAGAAAGCAGGAUAGGAAGAAGGGAAAGAGGGAGAGACAGAGGGAGGAAGGAAGGAGGGAAUGACAAGAGAAGACAAAAGAAGAGGAAGAGAAAGGAAAUUCGAUGGAGGUUUCUUUUAUAUGUUUGUUUCUGCUUCUGUGUUUGGUUUUUUGAGACAACAGUUUACCAUGCAGGCCAGACUGGUCUGGAACUCACUCUGUAGUCCAGUCUGGCCUCCAGUGCAUCCUUUUCCCCCUGAGGCCCCCUGGGUGCAAACAUGUCCUACCUCACCCAGCUAAGUUUUACAUAGACUUUCCUGUAAGACUUAGAUUUGUGACAGUGUUUCUAUCCUCUCUGAGGAGCUUGGCAACCUGAGAAGUGACAGAGUCAGGCUCACAUGGCCAAGGAAAGAGUAGCCACUGCCUCACUGAGCAACUCUGGCUUGCUUAUCAUUAAAGCCAAUGUUUAAAAAAAACAAACAAAAAACAAACAAAACAAACAACCAAAAAAACAACCAAGGGGGUUGGGGAUUUAGCUCAGUGGUAGAGCACUUGCCUAGGAAGCGCAAGGCCCUGGGUUCGGUCCCCAGCUCCGAAAAAAAAAAAAAAAAAAAAAAAAAAAAACAACCAAAAAAAAAAAAAAAACCUGAAUUUCACAGAUAGGUCAUAUCAUGAAUUAUCCACAUCAACAUUUUCCUCACUUCGGGGCGUUUUGAAAUUUUUACACUCUACCUAAGUAGGCGUUUCCAGGAUAGUCUACAUGAUUGUAAAAGCCCCCCCCCCCCCAUGGUUCAAAUUCAACUUAGAGAAAGUCAGUUCUGGGUUUCAGGAAUCCCUCCUGUAUCAAUGGGAAAUAAAUUGCUUUGUCACCUUUCCAAUCCUCAAAUCUGGCAAAGAGAAGUGCCUGGGCCUUGUCAAGGACCGCCAGUGAAAUCAGAAGGAACCCAGAAUUUUAAAGCUCAUUAGCAUUUCUCCCCGCUCCCCAUUUAAGCUCAAAUCCCUCUCUCCAGGCAGGGGUCUGAAUAAGCAAACACGCCUGUCCCUAGGGAACAGCACUCACAUUUUUCAGAUAAGGACUCCGCUCAGUUUGGGGUCAAAUUAUACUGGUAGCAAAACCCUAUGAGAGCAAACAAGGUUUUGGAAGAUUCAGUCACUCUAGUGAAAGCUGAUUAUAAUUGAUGAACGACCAGCUCGCCCGGCCACGACAGGCUGGCUGCCCGGCCUUUGCUCUCUGCCAGUUCAAGCCUUACAAGUGUGAAAUAGCCAAUUACUGGGAUACCUAUUGAAAGUAAUAGGCCAAUGAGCAAAUUGCUACUAUGGGAUGCCGUAGCGGUGUAGAUGGAAGGGGGCCAAGAUAAAGUUCUGCCCUGAGCAGCUGCUCCCACCACAGAUUGCUAAUGCUAUUGGAUGACCAACGGAUGAGAGCGAAGGUACUUUGCCAUUCAAACUGCAAGUGUCCUGCCUUGUAUUGACUUAAAGUUUAUGAUGCAUGAUACCAUCUUGUUACCCGGGGUCCUAAUUUGCAGGAAUAAAUCCUCCUUUUAAAAAGGUAGUUAAACAAUAAGGAGAGUCACGGCCAUAGAUUUCGUGCAAAAGCAUUAAAUACAAUUUUUUUUUGCAGGGAAUGGAAAGUCAUACAGUGUGCAGGGUGUUAAUAUUUUGCCAGCCAUUUGCUAUUGACAGAACAAUUUGUCUUGAUAAAGGACAGUGAAGAAUUCCAAUCUCUUCACUGUCACCACAUUAUCAGCAGUAAUAUAUGACUGCAUCUAAAUAUGAGGGUGAGAACUGAUCCAGCCGAGAGCUCCUGCUAAUUUGCCUGUAAAUAUAUCAUGUCCCGGACAACGAGCGCGUGGCACAUUAGCCGUGCCGUUGCAUAGCCUAUUUUUGUGUGAAAUUUGAAGUUUUACCGUGUUUAAUGGAAUAUGCGAUAAUGUUUCCUUUUGGAAGUAGCACGCCUCUUUAGGAAGAAUUUAGCGAUGGUUUAGGGACCAUUGGCUUACUGCAGAGAAGAAAGGCUCGACAAGGGUAAAUUCCAAACCUGUAAAAGAAGCGCAGCCUCUCAGAAUUUACUACCACGUCGUCCUCGACUCUUCUCUCUCUCUCUCUCUCUCUCUCUCUCUCUCUCUCUCUCUCUCUCUCUCUCUCAGUUUUCGCACUGCGGACAUUGUAACAGUGUGCACCUUUUUGUAGGGUUAGAGGUCUGAGGAAUACUUAAAUGUUCCUUUGGAGAUGGAUCUAACAAAACUCUGAAAUAUCUGAAGGGCACGUUGCAGAAGAGUCCAAUCAGUGGUCACGGAGCGUGAGUGGCGCUCAGGGAGAGAUUUGAGCCCACUUCUCUCCAGCCUAGAUGCCCUCCAAGCUCAGCUCAUCGAGGCCAUGGGAGGCGGAUGUGUAGAAACCAGAGUCACUUGGGCACAUACUUUCUCUGCCAUAAUCCCAAGAUCCUGUACCUCUGGAAGUCUCAAAAUAAGAAAGACAAUCAGAUCCCCCAUUGCUUAAGAUCUGCACCUUGAGUUUGCUGGUAAAAUUCCAGGAAACUCUUCAAUGGUGCUUCGCUUUCUACUUAUCUUUCUUCAACCCCUUCCCAAGAGAGAAAGAAGAGCUUAAAGGACCGCUGAGGCAUUGCUCAAGAGAGAUUUGUAUAUAUUCCUUUUUGGAUGUGAGCUGUGGGAAACUAAAGUACCCUGCUGUCUCCAGUAUACGUUAUUUCUCUCAUAAAUAAUAUUUAAGGGACCUAUGGAAUGUGUUAAAGAAAACCGUAGUAUUUGUAAGUUAAUCGUCGAAAAGAAAGAAAAACAAGCAAAUGAAUUCUAUAGCCUUGCCCAAGAAACAGCAGAGGUCCUAGUCUUCACGCCAGUGAGCGAGACAAAUAUUCUCAUUUAAGCCAAAAAUCGCUUGAAUUACUUUCCACUAUAAUAAUCAGGGCAUUUGGUUUUCCUCUCUUGGUCUCCUCUCAUGGGAAAAAAAGAAAGCACAGGCAAAGAGUUGAGUCUCACCUUUAAGAUCAGGAUCUUAACCGGCACCCUUUGCUUGCCUUUACUAUCGGGGCCACAAGGUGUCACUGUUGAAUGCAGGACCUGCACAGUUUGUUGUUGAAUGUCUCUGAUGCAGCUCCCUGAGCAGUACAGGGAAGCUUCUCCCGGUUACACCAGCCUCUGCUCUUCUAGAGUUUACUCUGCCAACUGUUGGGUUUCAGACUCAUAUCACAUCAGAGAGACCAAAGGCUUUGCUUCCCGGAUCUGUGUGAGGAUGAGUAUAUCGUGAGAUAUCAAUUAAUCUUAUACACAUGCGCAUACACAUGCACACUCCUUCCUGUGCAUAUAUAUAAGGCUUAGGUCUGAAGUUACCAGCUGUUGCCAGUUUUUAACUAUUACUGCACGACCGCCUAAAGAUGGAGCACGGAGCUUCUGGGUAGCCUUUCCCCCUUGCUGGUCCUGCCAUAAGUCACCCUUUGGGGGUUUAGCAUCUCGUUUGCAGAUAACACUCAAUCCAUCCAGAAUAUUCCAUUAAGAAUAUCAGUUUGAAAUGAUGCUUCAUUCUUUUUUUUUAGAAUACACAUAUCUACAUGUAUCUACAUAUAUUAUCUUUAAUCUCAAUCUCUCUCUCUCUCUCUCUCUCUCUCUCUCUCUCUCUCU
ensembl:lncRNA